rnacentral:rRNA from 1 species
GGAGUUUGGACCGUGUCUCAGUUCCAAUGUGGGGGACCUUCCUCUCAGAACCCCUACUGAUCGAUGGCCAGGUGGGCCGUUACCCCGCCUGCUGCCUAAUCAGACGCAUCCCCAUCCGUCACCGCAGAAAAACUUUGCCGGCGCAGCGCAUGCGCGCACGCCGGAACAUCGGGUAUUAAUCUUCCUUUCGGAAGGCUGUCCCCGGGUCACGGGCAGGUUGGAUACGCGUUACUCACCCGUGCGCCGGUCGCCACUCACAGAUAGCAAGCUACCUGCAUGCCUGCCCCUCGACUUGCAUGUCGU